CACGUAGGGCGCGAGCGUUGUCCGGAAUUAUUGGGCGUAAAGAGCGCGUAGGCGGUCCGAUAAGUCGGCUGUGAAAGUCAGGGGCUCAACCCUUGAAAGCCGGCCGAUACUGUCGGACUAGAGUCCGGAAGAGGCAAGUGGAAUUCCCGGUGUAGCGGUGAAAUGCGCAGAUAUCGGGAGGAACACCAAUGGCGAAGGCAGCUUGCUGGGACGGUACUGACGCUGAGGCGCGAAAGCUAGGGGAGCAAACAGG
rnacentral:rRNA from 1 species